UACGGAGGAUGCAAGCGUUAUCCGGAAUCAUUGGGCGUAAAGCGUCCGUAGGUGGCUGUUCAAGUCUGCGGUCAAAGCACAAGGCUUAACCUUGUAAAGGCCGUGGAAACUGAAGAGGCUAGAGUGCGGUAGGGGUAGAGGGAAUUCCCAGUGUAGCGGUGAAAUGCGUAGAGAUUGGGAAGAACACCAGUGGCGAAGGCGGCUAUCUGGACGGUUUCUGACACUAAGACUCGAAAGCGUGGGGAGCAAACAGG
rnacentral:rRNA from 1 species